rnacentral:miRNA from 1 species
GAGAAGGAAUGUGAUCGCUACC